CGACCUCAGGUCAGGCAAGACAACCCGCUGAGUUUAAGCAUAUCACUAAGCGGAGGAAAAGAAACUAACAAGGAUUUCCCUAGUAGCGGCGAGCGAAACGGAAAGAGCCCAGCUUGGAAAUCGGGGUGUCUCUGCACCCCGAAUUGUAGUCUGGAGAAGGGUCCUCUGCAGCGGACCGGGUUUAAGUCCCUUGGAACGGGACGCCAGAGAGGGUGAGAGCCCCGUCUAGCCCGGACCCUGCUGCAUCACGAGGCUCUUUCGGCGAGUCGGGCUGUUUGGGAAUGCAGCCUUAAGUGGGUGGUAAAUUCCAUCCAAGGCUAAAUACUGGUGAGAGACCGAUAGCGCACAAGUACCGCGAGGGAAAGAUGAAAAGGACUUUGAAAAGAGAGUUAAAAAGUGCUUGAAAUUGCUGGGAGGGAAGCGAAUGGAUGCCUUGUGCGCCCCUUGGUUGUGUGUGGAACGGCGAGAGCUGGUCUGCCAAGCAAUGCAAGGGGCUGUCCAGCAUGGGAGGACGCGGCGGGAUAACGGCUUGUGAGCCUCUGGCUCCCUGCCAAUGCCGCCGCUGCCUCUGAAAAUGGCGGGGUGCUCCGGUGCCCCGCCAGAUGCUGGAACUUGGGCGUUCCAUCCGACCCGUCUUGAAACACGGACCAAGGAGUCUAACAUGUAUGCGAGUCUGUGGGUGUUAAACCCGUACAGGCGAAAGGAAACUAAUUCGUGGGAUCCCCUUCGGGGGUGCACCACGGACCGACCUUGAUCUUUUGAGAAGGGUUUGAGUGUUAGCAUACCUGCUGGGACCCGAAAGAUGGUGAACUAUGCCUGAGCAGGGCGAAGCCAGAGGAAACUCUGGUGGAGGCUCGUAGCGAUACUGACGUGCAAAUCGUUCGUCAGACUUGGGUAUAGGGGCGAAAGACUAAUCGAACCAUCUAGUAGCUGGUACCCUCCGAAGUUUCCCUCAGGAUAGCUGGAGCUCUUGCUGAGUUUUAUCGGGUAAAGCGAAUGAUUAGAGGCAUCGGGGGUGAAACACCCUCGACCUAUUCUCAAACUUUAAAUAGGUAAAGCAGCCGGGGUUGCUCUGUUGAGCCCCGGCCGUGAAUGCGAGCUCCAAGUGGGCCAUUUUUGGUAAGCAGAACUGGCGAUGCGGGAUGAACCGAAAGCCGGGCUACGGUGCCAAAGUGCGCGCUAACCCAGAUCCCACAAAGGGUGUUGAUUGAUUAAGACAGCAGGACGGUGGUCAUGGAAGUCGAAAUCCGCUAAGGAGUGUUACAACUCGGGAUCCUCUAGAUCGACCUCAG
rnacentral:ncRNA from 1 species